AAAAUUAAAGGUYUAAUYUGCCCAAUGAUAUUUGAAUGGCCGCGGUAAUUUGACCGUGCAAAGGUAGCAUAAUUAUUAGUCUUUUAAUUGAAGGCUUGUAUGAAAGAUUGGAUGAAAAAUAAACUUUAUUAAUAUAAAUUAUUUAAUUUAUCAUUUAAGUAAAAAUUCUUAAAUAUAUAAGUAGGACGAGAAGACCCUAUAGAGUUUCAUUUUUAUUUUUAUUAUAAAAUUCAAGAAUUAAUAUUUUUAUAAUUAAAAUAAAUUUUUUAUUGGGGUGAUAUUAAAAAUUUUUAAACUUUUAAUUAAUAUUUCAUUAAUAUAUGUAUAUUUGAUCCAAAAAAAAAAAUUGAUUAUAAGAUAAAAUUACCUUAGGGAUAACAGCGUUAUUAAUUUGAAGAGUUCAAAUCGAUAAAUUAKUUUGCGACCUCGAUGUUGGAUUAARAAUAAAUUUUGAAGUAGCUUUUAAAAUUAUGGGUCUGUUCGACCUUUAAAUUCUUACG
rnacentral:rRNA from 1 species